UACGGAGGGUGCAAGCGUUAUCCGGAUUUACUGGGUUUAAAGGGUGCGUAGGUGGGCAGGUAAGUCAGUGGUGAAAUCUUCAAGCUUAACUUGGAAACUGCCAUUGAUACUAUUUGUCUUGAAUUAUCUGGAGGUAAGCGGAAUAUGUCAUGUAGCGGUGAAAUGCUUAGAUAUGACAUAGAACACCAAUUGCGAAGGCAGCUCACUACACAAUCAUUGACGCUGAGGCACGAAAGCGUGGGGAUCAAACAGG
rnacentral:rRNA from 1 species